AUAAACAGGAAAACCUUCAUCCAUGUUCGAGUCGCAGGAAAAGCGGUUAAUGUUUGUUUUGAAACACUGUUAUAUAUUAAGUAGAGUGGCACCAAGUAAAAAGGCGCAGCAAGUAAACAGUCAGAUCUCGAAGUCGAUGUGUCGGAAGCAGUGAAUAUGGACGAGCCUAAGGAGCUGAGCGAGUUUGACAAGGGCCAAAUUGUGAUGGCUGUACGACUGGGUCAGAGCAUCUCCGAAACGGCGGGUCUCGUGGGCUGUUCCGAGACUGCAGUGCAAGAGACCAUGAACGAGAUUGGCCAGGACAAGGGUGCCGUCUCUAAUGAAGUAAAGGGCGGAGCGGCGAAGAGAGGAAGAGGGAGGGCCCGAAAGAAGCCAUAGGUAUUGCGAAGGACUUCGAGAGUUCCUGUAUGCGCGAGAAUUUAAUCACGUGAUUGUUAACUUGAAAGUUAAACAUGCAAACUGAGAUUAUAAAAAUACAGGCGUGUUCAAAUGUGA